GUGCCAGCAGCCGCGGUAAUACAGAGGUCCCAAGCGUUGUUCGGAUUCACUGGGCGUAAAGGGUGCGUAGGUGGCCGUGGAAGUUCGGUGUGAAAGCUCGGAGCUCAACUCCGAAAAGUCAUUGAAUACUCUGCGGCUAGAGGGUCGGAGGGGAGACUGGAAUUCUCGGUGUAGCAGUGAAAUGCGUAGAUAUCGAGAGGAACACCAGUGGCGAAGGCGAGUCUCUGGACGACUCCUGACACUGAGGCACGAAAGCUAGGGGAGCAAACAGGAUUAGAUACCCUGGUAGUCC
rnacentral:rRNA from 1 species